rnacentral:lncRNA from 1 species
UCUUGUAAGGUUUUCAUGAGUUUUCACUUGGUGUUGAAGGUUUUGAGUAAAAAGAGGAAGUUGUGGAGCUUGAAGUUCUUGAAGCUUGUUUUGAAGCUAGGAUCACACCAGCCUUUGUUCUAGAAGAGGUAAGUGUUGAUCCUUGUGUUUUCUAGUGUUUUAAGCAAGUUUUAUGGAGGGAAAGGGUAGAGUUGCAUGGUGAGGUGUAAAAGGAUGUUUUUGAGGGUUUUUAUGCAUGAGUAUGUUUAUGUGUUAUGGGUGUUGUUUGUUGGGG